rnacentral:sRNA from 1 species
CAAAAAGUCUUCUGUCA